ensembl:lncRNA
UUAAAGAAAAAUGCAAUGUACUUGUAUAUACAUUGAUGUAAUACAAUGCAUGAUUAUACAGAGGAGGGGGAUCCGCCAUACAGCCGUUUCCAUCUUUCCACCACAGCAGGGCCUCCACUCUGCAAAGGACGAGAAAACACCUGCCUGUCUUCGCCUCACUUCCUGUCUGGCUCUGAGAUUCGGGAUCAGCUCAUACCGACCAGGACAUCCUGCCACCACUGCAGAGCAGAUGUUGAAGCACCGUGUUAACUGUUCAUCAUCAGUGGACACUUACUGGACCACAGAGACACGUGUUCUCCCUGCCAGUGUUGAGGUUUCUUCACAACAGAUAAUAAGGUCUUCCUCCUCUGUGAUUCCUCCACUUCACAGUGAAGACACUCAGGACUCCAGAGAGCGCUGAACACAAAAGAAGCUGAACAUCAUGCAGCGUAUUCAGUUUCACUGGACCUAUAUGUUGAUCUGCUCUGCAGCAGAGUUCAAGUAUCAGGUGUGUGACUGCAAGGAAGAGUCAUCAGUCAGUCAUCACUGUCCCAGUGAAAACCUCACCUUUAUGCAGCUUCAAGCUCCUCCCUAAACCAGCUGUAAAGGCCUCUCCUCCUCCAUGUAGCUAUAGUAACACUAUCCUGAUGUGAUAACUGGAGCAGUGGAUCUACAGCCACUGCACAGGUCAAAGGUCAUAAUGUUACAGGUCUUCAGAGCAUACACUACUAAC